GUGGGGAAUCUUCCGCAAUGGACGAAAGUCUGACGGAGCAACGCCGCGUGAGUGAUGACGGCCUUCGGGUUGUAAAACUCUGUUAUACGGGACGAAUGGACGAGAGGCCAAUACCCUUUCGGAGUGACGGUACCGUAAGAGAAAGCCACGGCUAACUACGUGCCAGCAGCCGCGGUAAUAAGUAGGUGGCAAGCGUUGUCCGGAAUUAUGUGGCGUAAAGGGCGCGCAGGUGGUUUCUUAUGUCUGUCGUAAAAGUGCGGGGCUUAACCCCGUGAGGGGACGGAAACUGGGAGACUAUAGUAUCGGAGAGGAAAGCGGAAUUCCUAGUGUAGCGGUGAAAUGCGUAGAUAUUAGGAGGAACACCAGUGGCGAAAGCGGCUUUCUGGACGACAACUGACACUGAGGCGCGAAAGCCAGGGGAGCAAACGGGAUUAGAAACCCGGGUAGUCC
rnacentral:rRNA from 1 species